GAUGAACGCUGGCGGCGUGCUUAACACAUGCAAGUCGAACGAUGAAGCCCAGCUUGCUGGGUGGAUUAGUGGCGAACGGGUGAGUAACACGUGAGUAACCUGCCCUUAACUCUGGGAUAAGCCUGGGAAACUGGGUCUAAUACCGGAUAGGAGCGUCCACCGCAUGGUGGGUGUUGGAAAGAUUUAUCGGUUUUGGAUGGACUCGCGGCCUAUCAGCUUGUUGGUGAGGUAAUGGCUCACCAAGGCGACGACGGGUAGCCGGCCUGAGAGGGUGACCGGCCACACUGGGACUGAGACACGGCCGAGACGCCUACGGGAGGCAGCAGGGGGGAAUAUUGCACAAUGGGCGCAAGCCUGAUGCAGCGACGCCGCGUGAGGGAUGACGGCCUUCGGGUUGUAAACCUCUUUCAGUAGGGAAGAAGCGAAAGUGACGGUACCUGCAGAAGAAGCACCGGCUAACUACG
rnacentral:rRNA from 1 species